rnacentral:rRNA from 1 species
GUCGAGAAUCUUUCACAAUGGGGGCAACCCUGAUGGAGCGACGCCGCGUGGAGGAUAAGGUCUUCGGAUUGUAAACUCCUGUCAUGCGUGAACAAGGUUGCUUGGUUAAUACCUGGGCAAAUUGAUGGUAACGCAAGAGGAAGAGACGGCUAACUCUGUGCCAGCAGCCGCGGUAAUACAGAGGUCUCAAGCGUUGUUCGGAAUCACUGGGCGUAAAGGGUGCGUAGGUGGCGUGGUAAGUCAGAUGUGAAAGCCCGGGGCUCAACCUCGGAACUGCAUCCGAUACUGCCAUGCUAGAGUACUGGAGAGGUGACUAGAAUUCUCGGUGUAGAAGUGAAAUGCGUAGAUAUCGAGAGGAAUACCAAAGGCGUAGGCAGGUCACUGGACAGUUACUGACACUGAGGCACGAAGGCCAGGGGAGCGAACGGGAUUAGAUACCCGAGUAGUCC